GAUGAAGAACGCAGCGAAUUGCGAUACGUAAUGUGAAUUGCAGAUUUUCAGUGAAUCAUCGAAUCUUUGAACGCACCUUGCGCUCCUUGGUAUUCCGAGGAGCAUGCCUGUUUGAGUGUCAUUAAUAUAUCAACCUCUUCAGCUUAUGCUUGUUGAGUGUUGGAUGGUGGGGGUUUGCUGGUGUCUUAUGAAGUCAGCUCCUCUGAAAUGCAUUAGCGGAACAAUUUGUUGACCGUUCAUUGGUGUGAUAAAAAUAUCUACGCUAUUGACGUCAGUCAGUUCAGCUUCUAACAGUCCAUUGACUUGGACAAAUUUUUCAUUAAUGUGACCUCAAAUCAGGUAGGACUACCCGCUGAACUUAAGCAUAUCAAUAAGCGGAGGA
rnacentral:misc_RNA from 1 species